UACGGAGGGUGCAAGCGUUGUCCGGAUUUAUUGGGUUUAAAGGGUGCGUAGGCGGCUUUUUAAGUCAGUGGUGAAAUACAGCAGCUCAAACUGUUGAGGUGCCAUUGAUACUGAGAGGCUUGAGUACAGAUGGAGGUAGGCGGAAUUUAUGGUGUAGCGGUGAAAUGCAUAGAUACCAUAAAGAACACCGAUUGCGAAGGCAGCUUACUAAGCUGUAACUGACGCUGAGGCACGAAAGCGUGGGGAGCGAACAGG
rnacentral:rRNA from 1 species